CCCUGGAAGCCAGGUGUAAACUGACUUGUACACUUGCUGUUAAUUAUCUGUUUUGAACUUUUAUAUUAGGACUAUGCUUAAGGUCCUAUUACAAACAAUAAUGAGAAGCAGAAGCUUUAUAAGCACCUCUUUUGACUGAUACAGACUUUGUGCACUGUAGCAAUAAUCAAGUUGGCAAAUGAAACUGAAGAAUGAUGGAUCAUUCGAUUUUUUAUUUCCACAAAUUCUACAUUUAUUAAUUGUCAUGGUUGCCAUUAUAAUUAUCAUGUUAUGAUCAGUAACAUUAAUUUAGCGUACACUUUUACAUUUGCUGAUUGGUUAUGUUGGGUUGUGAGCUGGUUUAUGAGUUUGGCUAGCAGCCUGGGACAGCGAGACCCACUUGAAGAAUGGUUGUGACUUCAUUGAAUUUGUUGCCCUGUGGAAGACUGGAAGGAGGUCGCAUAGCACAAGCUAUGUUUGGAAGAAGCACAGCCACAUUGCUUUCUUUUGCAACAUCCCUCUUG